rnacentral:rRNA from 1 species
UACGUAGGCGGCAAGCGUUGUCCGGAUUUAUUGGGCGUAAAGCGCGCGCAGGCGGCUAUGUAAGUCUGAUGUUAAAGCCCGAGGCUCAACCUCGGUUCGCAUUGGAAACUGCGUAGCUUGAGUGCAGAAGAGGAAAGCGGUAUUCCACGUGUAGCGGUGAAAUGCGUAGAGAUGUGGAGGAACACCAGUGGCGAAGGCGGCUUUCUGGUCUGUAACUGACGCUGAGGCGCGAAAGCGUGGGGAGCAAACAGG